rnacentral:rRNA from 1 species
UACGGAGGGUGCGAGCGUUGUCCGGAAUCACUGGGCGUAAAGGGCGCGUAGGCGGCGCGGAUAGUCGGCGGUGAAAGCCCGGAGCUCAACUCCGGGUCGGCCGUCGAUACUUCCGGGCUUGAGCACUGUAGAGGCAGAUGGAAUUCCGGGUGUAGCGGUGGAAUGCGUAGAGAUCCGGAAGAACACCGGUGGCGAAGGCGGUCUGCUGGGCAGUUGCUGACGCUGAUGC